rnacentral:rRNA from 1 species
AUUGAACGCUGGCGGCAGGCUUAACACAUGCAAGUCGAGCGGAGUGGCGGACGGGUGAGUAAUGUCUGGGAAACUGACUGAUGGAGGGGGAUAACUACUGGAAACGGUAGCUAAUACCGCAUACUAUUGGAGCGGCCGAUAUCGGAUUAGCUAGUUGGUGGAGUAACGGCGCACCACGGCGACGAUACGUAGCUGGUUUGAGAGGACGACCAGCCACACUGGAACUGAGACACGGCCCAGCCUCCUACGGGAGGCAGCAGUGGGGAAUUUUGGACAAUGGGGGAAUCCCUGGUCCAGCCAUCCCGCGUGUGCGAUGAAGGCCUUCGGGUUGUAAACCACUUUUGGCAGGAAAGCGGUACCUGCAGAAUAAGCACAGGCUAACUACGUGCCAGCAGCCGCGGUAAUAC